rnacentral:rRNA from 1 species
AUUGAACGCUGGCGGCAGGCCUAACACAUGCAAGUCGAGCGAGCGGCGGACGGGUGAGUAAUGUAUGGGGAUCUGCCCGAUAGAGGGGGAUAACUACUGGAAACGGUAGCUAAUACCGCAUACCAUCAGAUGUGCCCAGAUGGGAUUAGCUAGUAGGUGGGGUAAUGGCUCACCUAGGCGACGAUCCCUAGCUGGUCUGAGAGGAUUAACAGCCACACUGGACCUGAGACACGGUCCAGACUCCUACGGGAGGCAGCAGUGGGUAAUAUUGCACAAUGGGCGCAAGCGUGAUGCAGCCAUGCCGCUUGUGUGAAGAAGGCCUUCGGGUUGUAAAGCACUUUCAGCGAGGAGGCGUUACUCGCAGAAGAAGCACCGGCUAACUCCGUGCCAGCAGCCGCGGUAAUUC